rnacentral:rRNA from 1 species
CAGCCAGGAUGUUGGCUUAGAAGCAGCCAUCAUUUAAAGAAAGCGUAAUAGCUCACUGGUCGAGUCGGCCUGCGCGGAAGAUGUAACGGGGCUAAACCAUGCACCGAAGCUGCGGCAGCGACACGAUGUGUUGUUGGGUAGGGGAGCGUUCUGUAAGCCUGCGAAGGUGGCCUGUGAGGGUUGCUGGAGGUAUCAGAAGUGCGAAUGCUGACAUAAGUAACGAUAAAGCGGGUGAAAAGCCCGCUCGCCGGAAGACCAAGGGUUCCUGUCCAACGUUAAUCGGGGCAGGGUGAG